rnacentral:lncRNA from 1 species
UCAUGAGAACAAAUCUUGUACCAAUAAAAACAUGUUUCGAAAUCACAUUAAACGUUGUUUUUUAAUCAAGUUAAACUAAUCUUAGGACAACAACUUUAUAAUUGAGAUUUAACCUCUAGUCAUGAUGAGAAGACGGGAUGUAGUGUGAGGCGCAAAUGAGAACAAAGAAAGCAAUUGGACUCUUGUGAUAUAUUUUAAAUUUUAUUCCGUAAUAGUAAACAUAAGAUAACUGUAACUACAACUGCAAUUUAUAGUAUUGACGCUGAGUAUUUCUUGGCCCUCUUUGGUUGUAGAAAUUGUCUAAUGGUAUGGGCAUGAUCAAAUUGUAAUGAAAAAACUACAAAUUGGAGAUUACGGUUAAAGAUGGUGAAUUCAUUCAAAGAAAGAAGGAAAAUCCAUGUGAGGAUCAACCACAUCUACCUUAUAGGAACAAAGAUUUAUCUUUAUACCAGAAAGAAUUUGCUUUUACAGACGACAAUUAAGAGAAGAGUUUGGGAAUGAAGCAAAAAGUAUGAGGAC